rnacentral:rRNA from 1 species
GUAGGUGGCAAGCGUUGUCCGGAAUUAUUGGGCGUAAAGCGCGCGCAGGCGGUUCUUUAAGUCUGAUGUGAAAGCCCACGGCUCAACCGUGGAGGGUCAUUGGAAACUGGAGAACUUGAGUACAGAAGAGGAAAGCGGAAUUCCACGUGUAGCGGUGAAAUGCGUAGAGAUGUGGAGGAACACCAGUGGCGAAGGCGGCUUUCUGGUCUGUAACUGACGCUGAGGCGCGAAAGCGUGGGGAGCAAACAGGAUUAGAUACCCUGGUAGUCCACGCCGUAAACGAUGAGUGCUAAGUGUUAGGGGGGUUUCCGCCCCCCUUAGUGCUGCAGCUAACGCAUUAAGCACUCCGCCUGGGAGUUCGGCCGCAAGGCUG